rnacentral:lncRNA from 1 species
CUCUGCCCACAGCACAUGACACCUUCCGGUUGGAGUUACCCACGAUAUAAUCCAGCCUGGUCAGAACUCCAAGGAAGUCUCCUGGAGUCUCCUACAGAUAGGGUAUCAACCUGGCUGCCCUCAGGCUAUGGGGCAAGAAGAUGGCUGUGGUUCGCAGGAUUUGGGUUCCUGUUGCUGAAAAUUCCUGAGCUUUUGCAGAGUUCCUCAGUGCAAACGAGGCUACUUCUUCCUUCUCCUCUGCCAGGUUAAAAUCCUGUCUCAGGCAUGCUCAAUCUGCAACUGAGGAGUCUUAAAUUGAAUCACGUUUUCCAGAGGCCAUCUCAUAUAAAGAUGCAGAGCAUCUUAACGCAAUAAAGGCCAAUGCUAUCUUUGGCUAUGGGACAGCCUGCAGCCCAGCCGCCAGGAACAGGAAAUCUUCUGUAGGGUUGAGAAGCCU